rnacentral:rRNA from 1 species
GACGAACGCUGGCGGCGUGCUUAACACAUGCAAGUCGAACGGAAAGGCCCUGCUUUUGUGGGGUGCUCGAGUGGCGAACGGGUGAGUAACACGUGAGUAACCUGCCCUUGACUUUGGGAUAACUUCAGGAAACUGGGGCUAAUACCGGAUAGGAGCUCCUGCUGCAUGGUGGGGGUUGGAAAGUUUCGGCGGUUGGGGAUGGACUCGCGGCUUAUCAGCUUGUUGGUGGGGUAGUGGCUUACCAAGGCUUUGACGGGUAGCCGGCCUGAGAGGGUGACCGGCCACAAUGGGACUGAGAUACGGCCCAGUAUCCUACGGGAGGCAGCAGUCGGGAAUAUUGCACAAUGGGCGGAAGCCUGAUGCAGCAACGCCGCGUGCGGGAUGACGGCCUUCGGGUUGUAAACCGCUUUCGCCUGUGACGAAGCGUGAGUGACGGUAAUGGGUAAAGAAGCACCGGCUAACUACGUG